UUUGGAUAUCCUAUGCUUAGAG
rnacentral:miRNA from 1 species